rnacentral:lncRNA from 1 species
UUAAUUCAAAGUUAUUAUAGUGGGACCCUAGUGCCACAUUUAGCUUAAAAUAUCCUCGUCAUAGGUCAUAUUAUUUUAAAUACAGGUAGCUUAUGUUUAUUUGUUCAUAGAAAUAUAUAUCUAAGUGCUAUUUUCAUAUUUCAUGCACACCUAUAUAUAUAAAAAUAAAAAAUAUGUCGGCCUUCCUUUCCUAAGAGAAAUUGGCCAGUUAGUUAAAGGCCUCAUGAACUCAUCA